rnacentral:rRNA from 1 species
UACGUAGGGGGCGAGCGUUGUCCGGAUUUAUUGGGCGUAAAGAGCGUGCAGGCGGCUAGGUAGGUCCGUUGUGAAAACUCGAGGCUCAACCUCGAGACGUCGAUGGAAACCAUCUAGCUAGAGUCCGGAAGAGGAGAGUGGAAUUCCUGGUGUAGCGGUGAAAUGCGCAGAUAUCAGGAAGAACACCAAUGGCGAAGGCAGCUCUCUGGGACGGUACUGACGCUGAGACGCGAAAGCGUGGGGAGCGAACAGG